AACAAACAAGGGAGAGAGGACAAGAUUCCUAAACACGGUGUACGGGAACACCAUGUUACCCAUGGUAACUUGGGAAUGAUAAUGGUUGAGAAACCACUUCCUGUGUAUGACGGAAAAAUUGCACAAGCUUACUGUUGUCUGUUGUCCACUAUGUCUGAGUGGACCAAGUAAAGGAGUGAGAAAGAUGGGAGAAAGAUGGGAAAUGAGUCAAUGUGUAGUAGCUGCAGACCUCAUGUCUCUUUCCUCCUGCCUGGAGAAACCAACGUACAAGGGACCAAGAUUGGGAGUGACAUCUGGCAGUUUGAUAAAGUGGAUUUGGUUUCUUGGGGGCAAUUCCAAGCCGCUCUCCCUGGGCGCCAAGCCCCUCUCUGAGAAAGGAAAACACGUUCUACAGGAACAGGGGCUUAUCCACCGCUCCGCGUUCUCACAAGUCUCCCACGGUCUCCCAGGGGCCAUCACACAUUAACCCAAGGUCUUCCCUCCAUCAAAGACUUUACUAAUCUCAAGGCAGUGAAACAUCAAUGCAAUGAAACUAAGGGGUGAUGACCAUUUGUCUGCAACCACUUCUUCAGGAUCCACGGGUGAGAUUGGACAUUUCAGGCUAUAGAUCAAUACACUCUCGCGUUUGUUUACCCUUUUAUCCAAUUGCUGUUAUCCGAUCCAAAUUAUCUCUGGCUAUAUUCUUGAUGUGACAAAUCUUGCAGUGUUGUGAUUCUUUGUGAGAUUAUGCACAUUAAAUGAAAGAGCAGAUAUGUUUAAAUACAAAUGCAACCUGUUGAAACAAUGUUCAUGUUACAAAUAAUCCACUAAAGUGUCUACAUUUUGUUGUUUUUAUAUGUUAUUCUGACUGUGACUCUCCAUCAGAUGUCAUAGGGUUGAACUUGAGGUUUGUUAGCUUUGUCAACAAGGUCUGAAAAUGUAUAAUUAUAAACUCAAUACAACCGACACGUGCCUGUUGAGGUUGUCAUGAUUAAAUAGUGGGAUGGGGCAUUUGGUAAGAUGGAGCAACAAUUUUGGUAAAUUCCAUGAAUAUUCAUUAUUCUUUCUAUUGAGUAUAACAGCCUCCUGAAAUGUGACACCCCAAGACAGUCCAUAAUGCAAUGCAGUCAUACUGGUUUGCAAGUACCAAUUAGUUUUGUUUCAGUUGGUUGAAGCAUUUAAUGUGGGAUUUGUGCAACAUAACUAUUAGGAGCCAACAAUACACACUUUAGGAAAAGGACUCUAAUCGUAGGAAAAGGAAUCUCACCUUACAAGCAAAUUAACUUACAUUAUCCCAGGGCACUGGGCUGUAGAAUUCUCUGUUUAGAAUGUCCACUCCUUUCUCAGCAGAAACUAACAAAAAAGUGAAGCAGCAGUUAACCCUAUUUCUGGAUAUUUCAUAAUUUACCAAGUAAAAAAAAGUUUUUUGUCAAUUAUGGAACAAGUUGUGAAUGUUUUUCUUUCAUUAGCGUGAGCCCUAUUGGUAGUACAAUACAACUGGGUCAGGACCAAUAGUCAUGGUUUUAUUCAUUAGAGUUCUGAAUAACACAAAAGUAACUGUUUAUGAGGACUAUUCCAAAUUGUUCUGUACUGUAAUCUGCAUGCAUGAGGUCUGUGAUGUAGGCUACUGUGCCAGGUUACCAUUUAAAGUCGGGAGGGCUACAAUGUUUCUUGUCAUCGUCUCCAUCUAAGAUCCUCAUUGACACACAGAAGUACACUCUUUGGCCUCCUUUUUUCAUAACUACCCAAUAAACAGUUAGGUUACCACAUUUACAAUGUAAUUUAGGGAGUUUUUAAAUUCACAACAAAUAGCACCUCAGCUUCAAAUGACUGGAGAUUGAUGUGUCUUACCUGUGUAUGCCUCAAAUGUGGUUCAAUUAGGCUGUGGUUCUAACAAGUAAUAACAAGCACACAAAGUGUGCAAAAAAAAUACCUGUACAACCAAUGUGUAAAAUCCUGUUUUGAAAGUAUUAAAGUAGGUGUUUUGAUUGAAAUGUCUCUUUACCAGUUAUAUAAGUCAGCAUCAAUUCCUCCUACUGUCUUGUUAGAUCAAAACGAUGAUAUAUACUGUUUGAGUGUAGCCAGUCUGGCAGUGCUGGGCUUGCUGGCAUCUAUGGCUUGCAAAGUGAGGAAUAGACGGCUCUCCCUAUGGUUGCACUUUGAGGCUGGUGCCAGAGUGUCUCACCCUUGCAGGUUAGUAUGGGAACACAAUCCUACUGCAGGGGGUUCAUAGUCAAAACAGCUGGUAUUCUCUCACACAUAGCCAUGCAGAGUUCACCCACAGAGUGCACUGCAUACUGCAAAUUAAAUGUAGCAUUACAUUUUAUGUGUAAAUGUAGACUGUCAUGUUUUGUAUGUAUUUAUACAUUUCAAUUCCUUUAAAAUCACCACUCUAAAACUAUAUUUAAGAGUUUUAUGUCAAUUGUGGUCAGAGUGAAUAGAAAGUUAACUUUUAGAUUAUUAUAAAAUAGAAUAGUUGUAAUGUUAUUUAGGCCUUAUAACAUAACAUACAUGCAGACAUAACACAAAGACACACCAUGCCUGACUCAACAAAAACUACGGAUGAAAAAUGAAGGUAUGGAGGGUAAAUCUUAAAAGUGGGCAAAGAAACGUUCAUCUCAAACAUUGAAAACAUGCCCUCACCAUUGGUAAACUUGGUAUGUGUCAUUUUAAUGAUAUAAUAUUAAUAUUAACAAAAUGUUAAGUCAAUACACAGCAUAUUUAUCAAUGGCUAGCAAUGGCAAAAUAUAGUCAUCUUUCUAUAUA